AUUGAACGCUGGCGGCAUGCUUUACACAUGCAAGUCGAACGGUAACAGGCCGCAAGGUGCUGACGAGUGGCGAACGGGUGAGUAAUGCAUCGGAACGUGCCCAGUCGUGGGGGAUAACGCAGCGAAAGCUGUGCUAAUACCGCAUACGAUCUGUGGAUGAAAGCGGGGGACCGUAAGGCCUCGCGCGAUUGGAGCGGCCGGUGUCAGAUUAGGUAGUUGGUGGGGUAAAGGCUCACCAAGCCGACGAUCUGUAGCUGGUCUGAGAGGACGACCAGCCACACUGGGACUGAGAGACGGCCCAGACUCCUACGGGAGGCAGCAGUGGGGAAUUUUGGACAAUGGGCGCAAGCCUGAUCCAGCAAUGCCGCGUGCAGGAAGAAGGCCUUCGGGUUGUAAACUGCUUUUGUACGGAGCGAAAAGGCUCUCUCUAAUACAGGGGGCUCAUGACGGUACCGUAAGAAUAAGCACCGGCUAACUACGUGCCAGCCGCCGCAGUAAAAC
rnacentral:rRNA from 1 species